CCGGAAAUUGUGUACCUCAGAGGGCUGCCCACUGUAGGUGCCUAAUAUGUGCUUUCUAUCAUUAGUAUGCAGGAAGUAUCCAAUAAUGUUUGUGUCAUGGCUACGCAGGGCUUGGUUCCCCAGGCUCAUCUGGCCCUCUCAGGAGCAGCACCAGUACUAUUUGUUGAGUGAACAGACUCAGGUUUUGUGUAUGAAGCCAAGCCCCAGCCAGCUGCGUGGCAGAGCUUCCUGUUUAUGUCCCUGUGGCUGGCAGAUGUGACACCCUGAGGAGAGUGCAGGUCAACCUCCCUGUUUUUUGGGGUCCCAGCCCGGAGGCUAACUCAAGAAAGUGGCUGCUGACGGGGCCAAAAACCUGUGUUGUCCCCUGCCAUGCUGAGCUGGAGAUGGGUCCCUCCUCUGAGUCCUCAGCUACCUCAGGAUAGCACAGUCAGCUGUCCCAGGCCUCCCCAGGGUGUACGCUCAGCAAACAGGCCCCCCACCGGCAGCCUUCAGUGUUCUCAGAGCAGGCCAGGGGGCAGGAGGGCAGGCACCCCUGCAGCGCAGUCAGAGUAGAGGCUGCCCCGCCACACAGCUGGGAAGAAUCAGCAGGACUCAAGUCAGGCUCUCGCCUCCCCAUCCCGGGGCCCAUGAGCCAUCCUGCCCACCUGCCCAGGUCCCUAGCUGCUCCUGGAGGCGCUUGACCUAACUCUCACAGGGUUGGGCUUGAGGGCUGAGGGCAGGCCCCACCCUGGCCUUCCCAGGGCACCAGCUUCUGCUGUGAGGCUUCCCAACACAUCCCAGAUGCCAGGCACGUGGCCCCCACGUGUGACAGCCCUCACAGGCCUCAGUUCCUCCCUGGAAGCAACAGAUGCCAGAGUGGGGCUUCCUCAUGUGGAAUGUGGAAACUCAGAGAAAGCAAAGCAAAGCCCAUACAGGAACCAUGGUGCUGCGGCAGACCCAGAGCGGGGGUCACACCGGGACAAGGGGGCGGUUGGUGACCUGCGUGCUCCCAGCCCCCUCCUGGCCCCACCCGGGGCUGGCCUGGCCUCUACUUACUUGG
rnacentral:lncRNA from 13 species